rnacentral:lncRNA from 10 species
CAGGGAUUUGGUCUAGGUGCUGCUGCUCAUUGCAUGGAAAGCCCAUCACUGACACAAUACACUACUGACAAGGAAGAAGGCUUUAAUUGGGCGCUGCAGCUGAGGAGUUGGGAGCUCAGUCUCAAAUCCAUCUCCCUGAUGGACUAAAACUAGGGGCUCAUAUAGCAGGGAAGAAAUGUGACAAUGUGUAAGAAAACAGGAACUAUUGAAGGGCAAGGAAGCAAUCAUGACGAUUGAAGGGUCGGCAUCUGAUGUGGUGAUCUCGUCUGAAAAUUAUGCUCCCAUGCCUUUAAUUAACAGAGGACAAUGCCUUAAAAAGAAGGCUUUCCCAAUGCAGAGAGCAACAUACUAACAGAUUGAAAUAAGAUAUUACUUUAUAGUAAUUUAUCUUAGUCCAGGUGCAGUGCCUCACACCUGUAAUCCCAGCACUUUGGAAGGCUGAGCUGGGAGGAUUGCUUGAGGCUGGCAGUUCAAGACUUCUUCCAUUUUAAGGGGCCUUGUGAUUACAGCUGGUCCAUCUGGAUAUUCUAAGAUAUUCUCCCUAUUUUAAGGAGAGAAAUCUGAAAUCUGAGGUGCAGUUGAUUUGAAUCCAGGAAAUCUAAGGAAAAAGUUCAAGCUCUUAAUCAUUUCAUACCCUUCUUGUUGCUAACUUAAACUUUUUUUUUAAAAAAGUUAAUCUUGUCUAUGAAGCAUGAAUCUAUAAUACUAGGGAAAAAACUGGCUAACUUGAAGAAAAAAUAAAUUGAAAUGAAAAGCAAUUAAUUCCUCUUAAUAUGAAUAAAGGAUGAUCUAAAUGCUUUUUGAGAAAUGAUUUCAAGUAAUGAAAUUUACAGGAAAAAAAAUCCUCUUUUCUGAAUAAGCAAUCAUGGUAUUAAUCCUAAGUUCUUUAAUCUUUAUAUUUACAUUUGUUCUUAAAGCUUGGUGUUUUCUACCAAAACCAUCUGUGUAUCUCUGUCUAUCUUCACGUGUUCUUUCUGUAUACAUUCAUGCAUGCGCACACACACAGAGAUUUCAUUAUUUAUUCAUAAAAUAGUUGAAAAUCACUGCUUUGGCCCUUUUAACUGUAUAUAAAUCUCUCAGUUCUCUAGUGCUUGGAAAGGAAGUAUUUAUUUUAUUUUAUUUUUAUUUUAUUUAUUUUGAGAUAGAGUCUCACUCUGUCGCCCAGGCUGGAGUGCAGUGGUGCAAUCCUGGCUCACUGCAGCCUUAAUCUCCAAGGCUCAAGCUGUCCUCCCACCUCAGCUUCCCUCGUAGCUGGGACCACAGGCAUGCCACCACACCCAGCUAAUUUUUGUGUUUUUUUGGAGAGAUGGGGUUUCCUCAUGUUGCCCACGGUGGUCUGGAACUCCUGGGUUCAAGUGACUGGCCCUACCUUGGCCUCCCAAAGUUCUAUGAUUAGAGGCGUGAGUCACCCUCCCUCGCCAGGAAGUAUGACAAACAGAAUGAGCCUGCAACCAGAGUCUUUGAUUCAAACCCUUGCCCACCAUUCACUGACUGUUUGAGCCUCAGUAUCUUUAUGUGGAACAUGAGGUCUAUAACAGAACUUAACAAACAGGAGAUAAUUAUUAAUGAGAUUAAAUGCAAUGAGGAAUGUCAGUGGUACCCUCUCUGUAGAGGAACUUAAGGAGUUGAGCCUCCAAGCUUCUUUCUUGAUAUGCUGAUGAAAGACAUAGCCUAGUUUAUGGUGGGUGCUGCUUAAAUUCCAGCCCUCUCUCUUUCAGUCAACAGGCUUGGACUCAAAAUAAGCCCCAUUCAGGCUGAUUUGCCUGCCUAUAUCAGUCACAAACUGCACCUCUUGCAAAAACAGCUUUCCCUCCAAUGUGUACUGGCCUUGAAGAAGACUGAGAUAUAGGGAAACAAAGAUCUUUAAAAUCAAGUUACUGAAAGGUCACUGAAAUAAUAUACAGUGAAAGAUGGAUGAUGCCAUCAUUGUAUAAAUAAAGUCAGUACAACCAUUAAAGAACUUACAAGUAUGGGUUUUUUCUUCUCUAUGGUUAUGAUCAUGGAUAGAAUAAUUUUGAUAUGACCAUGAUUAUAUUAUAUCUGGAUGGUUUAGAUGUCUUUCAGAAAAUUAAUAUUUAUUCUUUGGCAUUAUAUAAUUUCUUAAAUAAACAUGAAGAGAGAAAUGUUUUGAAUAACAAUUCUCUAGUCCUAAAUUUUCUAUACUUAGCAUGUAUUGUUUCUUUUUUAAUAACUUACAACAACUUUAUUUUAAAAUUAGUUUAGGCAAUGUUUUUUGAAAUGGCUUCUUUGAAGUCGCUUCUUGGAAUGAUUAUAGCCAUUGUGUAAAGCCAGCAAUAAAAGAAGGAUUUGAAAGUAGAGAGUAGAACAGUAGUUACCAAGGGCUGGAGGCAGGGGUAGAGGAGAUAUUGAUCAAAGGACACAAAAUUUCAUUUAGGAGGAAUAAGUUAAAGAGACGCACUGUCACAUGGUGACUACAGUUAAUAACAAUGUGUUGUGUUAUUGAAAAUCCAUGAGGGUAGAUUUUAAGUGUUCUGACCACAAAAAAAAGCAUGUGAGGUAACACAUACAUUAAUUAGCUCUAUGUAGCCAUUCUAUAAUGUAUACAUGUUUCAAAACAACAUGUACACAAUAAAUAUAUAUGAUUUUUUAUUUGCUAGUUAAGAAAAGCGUUUGACACUUCAAAAAAUAAAAUACUUUUGGCAUAUGAAGAGUCAUUUACAAUCACGCCCCAGACUUUGUUGUUAAUAUUAGCAGGGAUAGUCAUUGCUUAUAAGGUCUUCACAUGCUUAUAAAAGAAGUUUCACUAAAUCUAGUUAGCAUUGAGAAGUGUUGACAAGAAGAGUUGAAAAUAAACCUCAAGACAACUUUCUGAUUUAAAAUUCUAUUUCUUGGUGUGUGAAUGUUAUUUUUGAGGAAACAUACACUUUAUUGCAACAUAAUAAAUAAAUGAGAAAAUAAGACAAUGUUAUUUUACCCAAUAUAGCAGGGUGGUCUUUAAAUAAGUGCAUAAAUAGCCCAUGAGAUAGUUUGAAGCUUUCAGCUUUGUCACCCUGUUGGUCUAGUCAAAUGACUCACAUAUUAGCAAUUUGUUUGCAAAACAUCUUCUUCUUAUAGUUUCCAUUGGAUUACAUAAGAUUGUUUUAUCCUGAUAGAUAAUCUGGACUUUCUUCACCAAAAGAAGGUUAAUAUUCCUACAAAUUUUAAACCAAAACAUUAAAUUUUAUACUGAAAAUACAUCUUCCUUGAGGUCAAGACUGUAGGGGAAGGCAGAUUUUUGGUGUCCUUAUCCAAAUGAUAGCCUUGCAAACCAGGCUGUUUUCAUGAGAGGAUUUUCUUACUUUAUUUAAAUCUUCUCUGAGCGUAACAGGAAAUAAAUCUGGAGACUCCAGCUUCUGGAGCUUUUCCACAAAGAAGAUAAUCUUUCUGAUUUAAAGACACAAUAAACCCUUCUUUCUCCAUGUUCUUCAAAAUCCAUAGAGCUCAAAUAACCACUUCUUUUCAUUCGCUAUAGAACAGCAUUAUUUCCAAAAUUGCAUUUAAAUCAUCUACAUACAGAAGGUUAAAUUUGUUUAAAAAUGAAUAAUUACAUUCAUUUCUUUACAUUUGUACUCUGAAUAAUGUGGAAUUUAAACUAGGUGUGGUUACACUUUAGCUAUGAGACAUUGGGCCGGUCACUUAUUCUCUUCAGAGGAUUAAAAGGAUAAAAUAUUUUAAAAAAUAUCUAUCUAUCUAUCUAUCUAUCUAUCUAUCUAUCUAUCUAUAGAUAGAUACACACACACACACACACACACACACAUAGAGUUCUUAUACAAACCCUCAUUAAAUGUAAUCCAAGUUGUAGACCCACAGUACUGAUUUAGGUAGGCAAAAUAUCAAAUUAACAACAACAAAAAAAUACCAGACAUAAAAAAUGUGUCUCAUAUUCUGGACACAUCAUUAUUCUCUGAAAUAUCCACAGACCACUCUAAUCUGAGCACACCCUAGGUGGACCAGGAACACAAGUAAUGUGAAUGACUGCAAUAAUAAAAUGAGUAUGUUAAACUAUCAAUUACUUGGCUUUGAUUCUGUGCUUGAAUUAUAUUCAAUGAGCCUCUGCUGUGUGCCAGACAAUGUUCUGGGCAGCAGCGACACACUGGUGAACAGUCCUUGCCUAUAUGGAGCUUACAUUUUAGAAGGCAAAGACAGACCAAUAAAUAAGUCAGCAAACAAUUCGUCAAUAUAACUUCAAAUAAUAACAAAUACUUUGAAGAAAAUCAACUAGGGUCGUGCCUGAGGGCUUGGGAAUUAAAUGUACUUUAGUUUGGAAACCAGAGAAGUCAUGGCUGAGGGAUUUAUAUCUUCACUGACAACUGAAGACCCAGAAGAAACCAGCAAGGCAAAGGCUGGGAAUCAAUGUCUCCAGCUGUGUCCUUGAGGAAGCAGGAAAUGCAAACGGCUCUAAAGGAAGAAGGAGCUUACUUAUUUGCCAAACAGAAAGAAAGUUGAUGAGAGCAAUGAAACCGCAGUAAGUGAAGGUAGAGUGGGAGGAAAAGGCUGGGUCAUUAAAAGCUUUUUUAGUCAUUUUAAGAGUUUUGAAAUUUUUAAACAGGGGAAUGAGAUCAUCUGAUUUUUGACUGAACAAUGACGCUGGUUGCUACAUGCAGAAUGGCAGCAGGGAGAUAAGGAUGUAAACAGAAGACUGAUUGGGAAGUUAUUUUAAUUCAGGGAAAACAUGAUGCACUUGGAUUGAGGUAGUAGCUACAGAAAUGGAGAGGAUGUUAUAGGUCCUAUGACGUAGAAGAGAAUACUCUGGAAGCAGAAUUGAUAGACUUCAUGAUAGGUUAUGUGAAGAAGGAUCAAAAAGGAACCAAGGACAGCUAUACAGUGGUUGGUUUGAACAAUUGAUGGUUCAUGAUGCCAUUGCUGAGAUAAGGAUAUUUAAGGAGGAAGAUGACGAGGUGAGGAAACUUUUUAGAGCAACUAGGUGAACCUUAGCUGUGGAUAUUGUCCAUUUCUCUAAAUGUGAUGCAGUUACUGGGGAACUGAGAAAAACUACUGCUUUCUCCAUCUUUCUAAAAUAUAAUUCACUUUUUUCUCAUGUCUAAAACUCUUUGCAAAACCUAGAUUCUUUGUGUCUAAUAUAUGUCCACAACACCAUAUCUGCAAUUCCAAAUUCCAUUAGUUUGGAAAAGUAAUAGAUUUGUGUAACCUACUUGGCAGCAAAAUUCACCUGAUCUGGUCUAAUUUGGUGGCAAAAUCCAGCUUGAAUUUAAGGGAUGUCAUUGAUAAUGUUAAAGCAAGAUUAAAAUGGAGACUGCCUGAAGAAUGCCUUACCAAACAAAACCAACAAGGCUUUAAAGAGAGCCUUAGCCUUGCUUAAGUUGCAAACAUAAGCAAAAGUUAACUCGGAUCUUUUUGGGUAAAUGCUUAUGUUAUACAGAGACAAAACUUAACCUAGCCAAUCAUGAGCAGUCUACUAAGAUAUGAUUAUGUGACUAGGGACUUUCCAACAAGGUAAACCAUAAAAAGCAAUUUGUAACUGCCACUAGUCAAAUAACUUGUUUUGUUUUCUUAUUCACCCUAUAAAUAUUUGCCUCUGAAGCUGUGUCAUUGGAACACUAAACUUCAUUUAGUCUGGUGUUCCCCAAUUCAUGAAUUAUUUCUUACUCAAAUAAACUCUUUAAAAUUUUAUUGUGCCCUAUAUUUUUCUUUUACAAGAAACUUUAUCCCUUUUAAUAUUACUAUUUAUACAUUUUGGUGUAGAAACGUUAGAGUUUGAUUUCAGAGUGCCACUCUAGACCCCACUGGGGUUACGUAGGAUAUGGUACAUGUGCUGUAUAAUCUUUAUGACUUUUUUAAAAAAACUUAGAAUUCUGAAACUCAUCUAUCCUCUGGUCCUAGAGAAGAGAUAUAGACCUUUAACUUUAAAUUGGAUAGUAUUUUAUUAUGUGUUUCAGUGCUUGGUAUAAAGAAAUAUUGGAUCCUUUUCUGAGAGAAGUGGUUUACAAAGUGUCCUUCAUGAAGGGAGGAGAAAUUCGGAGAGCAAAAUUUGCUGAUAUUACAAACUCUAGACCCAGGCAUAGAGGGCAAUGUAGGUGACUUCAGUGUAAUGGAUUAUGAGGGCAGGAAGGAUGGGUUCUUAUGAAAGGGAAAGUCACAUAGACAGACAGAUUAAAUUAAUCAGCAGUCUAAUGACUUAACAAUUGUGUCAAAAUUCCUAACUCUGCUUGCCCAAGUUAACUUGGGGCAGCUUGAACACUUAAUUUUAUUGAUUCUAGGCUGCAUAUUUUCUGCAUUUUAAUUUUUCGGAAGUUGGGACGUGUCUUAUGAUUGAUGGAAUCUUAAAAUGGACUCUGAUCGGGUGGAAGUGAUGAUAUGUUAUUUCCCGCCCAUGCUUGGCCUUGUCUGUUGCUUCUGUACCAUAUGGCAAAUAAAAACUUUGAUAUCUCAAUCAUAAACUAUUUGAGAGCAUUAAUAGGAAAGUUUAUGUCUUUUGACUGUUACCCAAACUUUUCCAUUGUCAGAAUUAAUUAAGAUCAAGAAAACACUAACACCAAAACUCAAAGGAUGUUGGAAGCUUGAAAGAAGACCUCAAAGACAAUAUUUGGGCAUAUUUUAAGAGCAUCAUCAAUACUCUGUAUGGCACCGAGGAUGACUUAUGGAAAAACAGAGUUAUCAAUGACUUUUUGUUGGAAAUUAUCCAAAAGAGUAAGAUUCUGCAAAGAAGUUUGUGAAUUUAUUUACCAGUUUAUUUUUAUUUCUAUUUUCAUUUUACGAUUGCCUGAGAGUGAUAUUUGAAAAGUGUUAUAUUCAUAUAUGUCUAAAUUUUUCAACAAGUAUCAAAUAAAGAUUCUAAGUUAUAAGAAAGCAUUGUGUCAGUUUAAUUGUAUGAUUUCUUAAAAUUAGCUCCACAUGAAUGAACGGUACAUCUAAAAUUGAUAAUUUGAUAAUUGUCUCAGAUUUGAGGAAAUACUAUCCUCCAUUAUAGACAAAGGCUAGAAGGACCUGGGAAUGGGGAGGGGGACUAUGUAACAGACAAAUAUUCCAAUCUCAGAUGAUUAUUCUUCCACUCUCCUUUUUUCUCUGAGUCUAAGCUCAUCUUUUACUGUCCCUCUGGACUUUAACAGGCACUCUGCUAUUAAUGCUUAAAUGGAGCAUCUACUUAAUUAGAUUACAGCAUUUACAGGACAUAAACCUUUGGGUACAUGUCAAAGACCCUGGACUUUAGGCCACAACCAAUGUAAGUGGAUGAUUUCCCAAUGAUAGCAUAUGCCUAGAAAGGUUUGGCUUUAUUUUCCGUGAGUUCUUAUCUAAUGCAAAAUAAACUUUGAAUUUAUAUUUCUUGAGUUUUCCAGCACACAAUGUUUUGCUUUUAUAACUUCUAUUAUUAAAAGAAGAAUAUUAUACUAUUUGUAAAUGUUUUUGAUGUGCAAAAUUUUAUACCUAUAGGUUGCAAAAUCUGUGCAUUGCACUAGAAAUUUUGCUGAGUUUUCAGCUCUUAGCCACAGCAUUUAAGUAGUACAAUUCAUUUCAUGUUUAACUUUAUUUAAAUAUCAUAGUGAGUAGACCAUUGGUUUUCAGAUUAUUUUAAAUUUCUUUGUAUAAUCUGAGUUGAUUUCCCAUUGUGUCUGCCAAAGUACUCUUCUUUCUUCUUGAGGACAGUGCACAUUUAGAAAUUACCUUUUUGAAACAUCUUGAAAACUGACUCUUCAAAAAUGACUUUCAAUACUUAAGAACAUGACAAAAAUAUAUUUAUAACAUAACUUUUAGUUACAUGUUAUGCCGUAUAUAAAACUAUGUACUUGUGAAUGUUCAAUACCUAUCCCCCUCCCCCCAAAACAGCAACUUGUUUUGUUGCAUUUGCUGAUUUAUAUAGUAUAAAUACUCCCACAUGUCCAGUUUCAAAGUACCAACUUGAUGUCACUGGACAUACAGUUAGGAAGGGUAUCAUUAUAAAGUAUUUUUACAGUAAAGAAGCAAUAAAUGUAAGCAACUACAAAAGCACACAUAAUAGUGAAAUGCAUUAAAAUAAUUGGGAAAUACUAAGUUUUGAGUAUUACUUCGUUUGCUUAUUUUGUAAUUUAUUUAAUUGUAAGUUUAUAUAAUCCAAUUUUUGGCAAUGGCUGUAUUUAACAACUGGUUUCCAAAUUUACAAAUGUACUCUUUUAAGCCUACAUGAACUGGGUGUAGUUCAGCACUCCUGUAUAUAUGAUAUUUGAUAUUGCCUAUUAUAACACAGGUUAAAAAUAGUGAAGCUUAAACUCAUUUGAGACUUCCUCCCUCCCUCUUUUCCUUCCUUCCUUCCUUUCCUUUCCCUCCUUCCUUCCUUCCUUCCCUCCAUCCUUAAGUUCUUACAGAUUUGCUAGACAUGUCAAAAUGAGUAGAAAUCAGUAUGAACAAAUUAAAUUAUAAAGUUACCUAUUUAUGCUAUUGAUAUGGGGACAGACAGAAAUAAGAAGGUUAUACUUUUCCAGGAUUCUAUAAUAUAUAUUUUCUUUAUAUGUCAGGAUAUAUGUACGUAUCCAGUUAUAUAUCUUGAUACAGUUAUUUUUGUUUCUAUGAAACCAUGUUGAAUGCUAUGAAAAGCCUUGAUAAUGGUAAGUUACUAAAAAAGGCUCUCUAGGUAUGAGCAAGAAGGCGAAAGACUGAGAUAAAAAAUACCAGCUGUUAGUUUCUGUAUUCUGAUUGCUUUGCUAGUAUCUUUAUAUUCUUGGACCACUUUAAAGAAAUAAAACCCAACAUUUUAAAUAAUGAAUUUCUGAGG